GAUGAAGAACGUAGCGAAAUGCGAUAAGUAAUGUGAAUUGCAGAAUUCAGUGAAUCAUCGAAUCUUUGAACGCACAUUGCGCCCCCUGGUAUUCCGGGGGGCAUGCCUGUUCGAGCGUCAUUUCACCACUCAAGCCUCGCUUGGUAUUGGGCAACGCGGUCCGCCGCGUGCCUCAAAUCGACCGGCUGGGUCUUCUGUCCCCUAAGCGUUGUGGAAACUAUUCGCUAAAGGGUGUCCGGGAGGCUACGCCGUAAAACAACCCCAUUUCUAAGGUUGACCUCGGAUCAGGUAGGGAUACCCGCUGAACUUAAGCAUAUCAAUAAGCGGAGGA
rnacentral:misc_RNA from 1 species